GACGAACGCUGGCGGCGUGCUUAACACAUGCAAGUCGAACGGAAAGGCCCUGCUUUUGUGGGUGCUCGAGUGGCGAACGGGGGAGUAACCCGUGAGUUACCUGCCCCUGACUUUGGGAUAACUUCCGGAAACUGGGGCUAAUACCGGAUAGGAGCUCCUGCUGCCUGGUGGGGGGUGGGAAGUUUCGGCGGUUGGGGAUGGACUCGCGGCUUAUCAGCUUGUUGGUGGGGUAGUGGCUUACCAAGGCUUUGACGGGUAGCCGGCCUGAGAGGGUGACCGGCCACAUUGGGACUGAGAUACGGCCCAGACUCCUACGGGAGGCAGCAGUGGGGAAUAUUGCACAAUGGGCGGAAGCCUGAUGCAGCAACGCCGCGUGCGGGAUGACGGCCUUCGGGUUGUAAACCGCUUUCGCCUGUGACGAAGCGUGAGUGACGGUAAUGGGUAAAGAAGCACCGGCUAACUACGUG
rnacentral:rRNA from 1 species